rnacentral:pre_miRNA from 1 species
UGGUGUGAGAGAAUGAAGCUGCCAGCAUGAUCUGGUUGUCAGACAUGAGCCAAAUCCAUGCUUCAGUAAUGCGAUUCUUCAUUUUUUUAAAAGAUUUUUUGUUGUGUCGAAUUGCAAAGUGAGUUGUAGGAUUCUUCACGAGCAUUGGCUGAAAGGUAAAACUACCAUUGUUCAUGCAAGUUUCAGUAAGCAUGCAUAGAAUUUGGCUCCAUCAGAUCAUGUUGCAGCUUCACUCUCUCACCAC